AGGAGUCUGCGCAUGCCCUGGAGGGCGUAGCUAUUUCCCACCUGAGACUCUGGAGGAGGCGGAGCCGGCUCAGAAGGCGCAGCUUGAAGGCACCACCGAGGAAGUGCAGGUGCUGCUCGGGAUCUCACUCGCAGAACACUUCGAGAUACCCCGUCCCCGGUAUGGAGAGGCGCCUGCUGCUGUCUGAGACGUAUGAACUGGCUCCUUUUCCAGACGGACCCCGGAGCAGGUCCCUCUCUGGGAGAAGGUAAGGAGCUUACGUGGUCACUCCAGGGAGAUGCUACUAUAGCUUUGACACUGUAAUAUAUGUGCCUAGAACACUGCAGGUGGAGGGAUUUGGGAUGAUGUCCUGGAGCAGAACUCCUAUUCCCUUCAGUGAAAAAGGUGGGUCACUUGUCGUUGAGAGGCAGGUAUGAUCGUGUUACUUACAUGUAUAUUCAGACAAGUCUAUGAGUUGGCUAGGGUGGUUAUGUUGUUUCCUUCAAUACAUGAAAUCUAUGUAUCUUUGGGGUGGGGGGGCACUAGCUGAUUAGUUGGUAAAAACCAUAUAAUACAAUCCCUAGCCUUUAUUUUUUUGUGGUGCUGAGGAUUGAACCCAGGAUCUCAAGUGUGGCAGGCAGGUCCUCUACCACUGAACUACAUCCCCAGCUCCAAAGCCUAUUUUUAAAUAGUAUUCUUACCCCUCAGGAUUAAAGGUUAAUGGUGACUGUUUAAUGUGUAAGGGCAGAGGAAUCUAGGCAGUUUUUUCUUUUCUUUUCUUUUUUGUAUGCUGGGGAUGGAAUUCAGAGCCCCCCUACAUGUUAAGCAGGCACUAGGCAUUAAGGUAUACACCUAGUCCCAGCAGGCAAUUUUUCUUGUUUGUUUUGUUGUGCAUGUGGUGCUUGGACCUUGUGAAUGCUAGGCAAGCAUUGCUCUACCACUGACCAACAUCCCCAGUCCUUAGGCAGUUCUUAGUGAAACUUUUUAAAUGUCUACUGAUGACUAACAUUAGUUUACCAUCUCUUAGCAGCAUUAAAUCAAGCCUUGACUAAAACUUCUAAUAAGCUAAUGACUGUUGGAGAAAGGUAUUAACUUUUUCUCUUUGUAUCUCCUCUGACCCUUUUUUUUUUUUAACCUUUGCUGGCCUUAACAUGAUUGUCAAGUAUUUUAUAUACAUGAGUGGGAAUCUUUAUAUUGCUAUUGUAAUAAAGUACAUGCUUGAUUUGUCAUUCUUAGUCUUUGGGAAUAUGCUAUAAAAUUAAUGAAUGUGCUUAUCUUUUUUGUAGAUACAGUGAAGCUAUUAGAAAUAGCAAAAGACAAUGCAGCAAAUGCUUUAGGAACAACCAACCUUGACUUGUCUGUUAGUCUCAGAACUGUUCCUAUAGCUAAAGAAACAAGGCAUGGAAUGGCCAUUCCAAGCAAUGGUGCAAAGUUUGAGGUAAGUAUUCCAGGUAUAUCUAGAGAAACAAACCAUUUAGGACUACUGCCAAAAAGAUAUGAUUAGCCAUUUUUAUUUGCUUUACCUCAGACUACACUUCUAAGAAAGAUUAGCUAAAUAUAAUUUGUUUUAGUCAAAAAGCAGAUCUGAAAAUACUAGACAGCCUCUCAACUAUGAAAAUGGAAGAGUAAAGCACUUUAUUUUUUAUUCUGGGGCAUCCCAGAAAGCUCCAUAGUCCAGAAAACCCCUCCUUGGUACAAAAAAGUCCUGGUUUCCAGCACUGAGUAUAGAAGAGGAAAAUAUAAAACCAUAUAGUGGUCCAAAUAAAGAGACUAAAGACAAUACUGUUCAUAGUGUAAAUAAAUAUGACAGUUGUCUGCCUCUGCUGAAUCCUGAAUUGGUGUCCAUGACUGGUGGCUCAUGAUAAUGAAAAAAAUAUAUUGUGUGGGUGAAUAAGAGAAAUUUUGAUAACAGAUGUGUUGGUGCCUUACACUGUAGAGUUGAUUCUCUCAGAUCUUAACCGACAGUCUUGUUUUCUACAGCAUAUCAAGUGAUGUGUUGAAUCACAGCAAUAAAGUGUUCUUCUUAACUCUUAA